GCUGUCCGAGUUGUAAUCUGGAGAAGCGUUUUCUGUGUUAGACCGUGUACAAGUCUCCUGGAACGGAGCGUCAUAGAGGGUGAGAAUCCCGUCCAUGACACGGACAACUAAUACUUUGUGAUACGCUCUCGAAGAGUCGAGUUGUUUGGGAAUGCAGCUCAAAAUGGGUGGUAAAUUCCAUCUAAAGCUAAAUACAGGCGAGAGACCGAUAGCGAACAAGUACCGUGAGGGAAAGAUGAAAAGCACUUUGGAAAGAGAGUUAAACAGUACGUGAAAUUGUUGAAAGGGAAACGCUUGAAGUCAGUCGCGUUGUGCAGAACUCAGCCUUGCCUCGGCUUGGUGUACUUUCUGCACAACGGGUCAACAUCAAUUUUGGCCCAUGGAGAAAGGUGGGGGGAAUGUAGCGCUGUUUCGGCAGCGUGUUAUAGCCCCUCA
rnacentral:rRNA from 1 species